GACGAACGCUGGCGGCGUGCUUAACACAUGCAAGUCGAGCGGUAAGGCCCUUUCGGGGGUACACGAGCGGCGAACGGGUGAGUAACACGUGGGUGACCUGCCCUUAGCUCUGGGAUAAGCCUGGGAAACUGGGUCUAAUACCGGAUAUGACUCCAUGACGCAUGUUGUGGGGUGGAAAGCCUUGUGCGGCUAGGGAUGGGCCCGCGGCCUAUCAGCUUGUUGGUGGGGUGAUGGCCUACCAAGGCGACGACGGGUAGCUGGUCUGAGAGGAUGGCCAGCCACAUUGGGACUGAGACACGGCCCAGACUCCUACGGGAGGCAGCAGUGGGGAAUCUUGCGCAAUGGACGAAAGUCUGACGCAGCGACGCCGCGUGUGGGAUGGACGGUC
rnacentral:rRNA from 1 species